GAUGAACGCUGGCGGCGUGCCUAAUACAUGCCAGUCGAGCGAACGGACGAGAAGCUUGCUUCUCUGAUGUUAGCGGCGGACGGGUGAGUAACACGUGGAUAACCUACCUAUAAGACUGGGAUAACUUCGGGAAACCGGAGCUAAUACCGGAUAAUAUUUUGAACCGCAUGGUUCAAAAGUGAGAGACGGUCUUGCUGUCACUUAUAGAUGGAUCCGCGCUGCAUUAGCUAGUUGGUAAGGUAACGGCUUACCAAGGCAACGAUGCAUAGCCGACCUGAGAGGGUGAUCGGCCACACUGGAACUGAGACACGGUCCAGACUCCUACGGGAGGCAGCAGUAGGGAAUCUUCCGCAAUGGGCGAAAGCCUGACGGGGCAACGCCGCGUGAGUGAUGAAGGUCUUCGGAUCGUAAAACUCUGUUAUUAGGGAAGAACAUAUGUGUAAGUAACUGUGCACAUCUUGACGGUACCUAAUCAGAAAGCCACGGCUAACUACGUG
rnacentral:rRNA from 1 species